GUGGAUGUUCUCUGGCUGUGUCGCGUACAAUAAGAACGGUAGAAGAGUUUCUGAACUCCGGUCGCCUCGGCAGUGCGCCAUUGGCCAGCAAAGUCGCGUUUUCCUAAACCCAUAGUUCAUACCGUGUCGUCUGGCAUGGACGUAGACCACUGUUGGGUGCUGUGUCGCGUACAUACAACAAGAACCGUGGAAGAAUUUCUGAACCCUGUCCGCCCCGCCAGUAGGCCAUUGGCCAGCAAAGGCACACAGCGAUCGGACUGAGCAUAUCAAGUAGCCCCUCCUGUGACCCAC
rnacentral:lncRNA from 1 species